rnacentral:lncRNA from 1 species
CGAAUCGCGAACCAGUAUCUCAAACCCAGCUCCGCAUCCCUCUCCUAUUGUCCUUAUCUACUUGUACUCAAAUCCUGAGGUGUCUCCAUCUUUGCAUCUCACUCCUCCUUGCUCGAGAAUCAAGCAACUUCAUCAUUAUUCUUUUUGAGACUUGUACUCAUUCGAGCUGGCAGCCUUAUCCCUUGAAGAGAAUUCGAAAUUCAAUCGGUUUCCCCCUCUUUCUGCCUUAUAUCUCCCCUUAUAAAUAUCCCCUCCUUCUUCAUUGUUUGGGGAUUGGGAAGAAAAGUUAGAAAUUUUUAGUUGGAAAAUUUGGAUUCAAGAAAAGUAAAGUAUACCGUGAAAUACAGACCCAAAAGUCCACCAAUAUUAACAGUGAGUGUUUAGGUUGUGUUCUCUUUUUCCGAAUGUAGUUGUUAAUCGUAAUCUCUCGGAGUCGUCGGAAGUCGCUGCCCUCCAAGCUCUUCAGUUGUCUCAGUUUAGCUGCCCAGAGAAAGAUAACGCCUUCUCCGUCUGCCUGAGUUCACCAUGAACUCCUAUUUUCCUUUUCCCGCAUUUCGUGAGAGACACGAAGGCUUCAACCCUUUCCUUCGAGUCGGCCGACCCUUGAAACUGAUGAACAGGUGUCGAGAAAGGCAUACAUGGCUGGAAGUUGACUUAUCAAGUCCCUAAAGCCUAAAAAAGGGGCUACAUAUGUGAUGCAUACCUGUUGUAUACACUGGUAUACGGGGCAAAAUAUUGUAAUAAAGGGUAAACGCAGCAGAAUACUGAAAAGAAAGGAGAGAACGUACAAGAUGUUGAAGAAAUUAGGCUGAUAUACAGCUUAAAAAUGACUAUAUAUAGUGUGAUACAUUUUGUAUAUACAGCAGGCUCAACAAAGAAGAAAAGGCCUGAUUUGGCCCAAAUUUGCAUCAGCUUUAGAAUUGGGGCAAAAAGCUCAAGUUUGAAUCUUAUUCUUCCUUUACUCUUAUUUACGUAUAUAUUUAUUGUGUUAACUAACUAACUAUUUUAUUUUAUUUUGGUUGUUAUUUAAUUAAACCCCCCUAAAAGAAGUCAUUUUUUUUCUUUUUCUUAUACUUUAUUUAAAUAUAUUUAUAUUUUUACUUAUUACUUAGUUUUUCUCUUAUUAUUUUAGUUGCACUUUAUGAAUUAUUUCCUUUAAAAAAUCCCCUUUUAGUUCAUUCCCCAUUAAAAUAAUUAAAAAUAAUAAGUAAGUAAAUAAAAUAAAAAAUGAAUAUCCUUUACUUUAGUUUAAAAUUUGAAAAGUUGUUUGAAAGUCACUUUACUCAAAUCGUCUGUCAACCGCAAGUUAGCAAACAUUUCGAGGGCCUAACAUCUUCUCGUAAUGUAUAUUGAACUUCGAACUCUUUUAUUUCAAAUUGAUUUUAUCUGUUUAAAUUUUUUUUGAAAACCUUAAGUUUUUCUAGCUUUUUAC